CGUAGGUGAACCUGCGGAAGGAUCAUUAUCGUAAAACCGAGGUGCGAGGGCUGUCGCUGACCCUUUUCGGUCGUGCACGCCCGAGCGCUCUCACACAAUCCAUCUCACCCCUUGUGCACCACCGCGUGGGUUUCCUUUUUGGCUCUGUCCGGAAGGGGGGCUCGCGUUUUCACACAAACUUUGAAGUAGUGUAGAAUGUCAUUUUUUGCGAUAACACGCAAUCAAUACAACUUUCAACAACGGAUCUCUUGGCUCUCGCAUCGAUGAAGAACGCAGCGAAAUGCGAUACGUAAUGUGAAUUGCAGAAUUCAGUGAAUCAUCGAAUCUUUGAACGCACCUUGCGCCCCUUGGCAUUCCGAGGGGCACACCCGUUUGAGUGUCGUGAAAUUCUCAAAACCCAUUUCUUUUGGUCAUUUUUGACCAUGGAAAGGAUUUUGGACUUGGAGGCCUUUUGCUGGUUUCACCUUGAAGCGAGCUCCUCCCAAAUGUAUUAGUGGGGUCCGCAUCGUCGGUCCUUGGCGUGAUAAGUCGUUUCUACGUCUUGGAUCUUUGGCGCUGUACACCUGCUUCUAACCGUCUCAUUGACAACGAUGGUGUU
rnacentral:rRNA from 1 species